AGUGAACGCUGGCGGUAGGCCUAACACAUGCAAGUCGAACGGCAGCACAGUAAGAGCUUGCUCUUACGGGUGGCGAGUGGCGGACGGGUGAGGAAUACAUCGGAAUCUACUUUUUCGUGGGGGAUAACGUAGGGAAACUUACGCUAAUACCGCAUACGACCUACGGGUGAAAGCAGGGGAUCUUCGGACCUUGCGCGAUUGAAUGAGCCGAUGUCGGAUUAGUUAGUUGGGGGGGUAAAGGCCCAGCAAGGCGACGAUCCGUAGCUGGUCUGAGAGGAUGGUCGGCCACACUGGAAGUGAGACAGGGUCAAGACUCCUACGGGAGGCAGCAGUGGGGAAUAUUGGACAAUGGGCGCAAGCCUGAUCCAGCCAGACCGCGUGGGUGAAGAAGGCCUUCGGGUUGUAAAGCCCUUUUGUUGGGAAAGAAAAGCAGCCGGUUAAUACCCAGCUGUUCUGACGGUACCGAAAGAAUAAGCACCGGCUAACUACGUG
rnacentral:rRNA from 1 species